GAGAGGCACAUUCUUUCCAUGAGGUUGUGGGUUCCUCGCAGAAAACCAUAGCCCCGGGGAUGCGCCCAAAGAAAAAAAAAAGGAUGGCGGCCCCACAAGGUGUGAUUUGGUUUAUUCGACAACGGAGACCUUACCAGGCUGACAUCGACUGAAGGAGCAGAGAUGUCCCUCUCUCGAGACAGAGACAGUGUGCAUGCUGUCGUCAGCUCGUGUCGUGAGAUGUGGGUAAGUCCCGCAACGAGCGCAACCCCUAUCCCAUGUACCAUCAUUGAGUUGGGGACUCAUGGGAGACUGCCAGGGACAACCUGGAGGAAGGCGGGGAUGACGUCAAGUCAUCGUGCCCCUUAUGACUUGGGCUACACACGUGCUACAAUGACGUAAACAAAGGGAGGCGGAGUCGUGAGGCCGAGCGAAUCCCCAAAAGGCGUCUCAGUUCGGAUUGCAGGCUGCAACUCGCCUGUAUGAAGUCGGAAUUGCUAGUAAUCGCGGAUCAGCAUGCCGCGGUGAAUACGUUCCCGGGCCUUGUACACACCGCCCGUCACACCAUGAGAGCCGGGAACACCCGAAGUCCGUAGUCUAACCGCAAGGGGGACGCGGCCGAAGGUGGGUUUGGUAAUUGGGGUGAAGUCGUAACAAGGUAGCCGUUCGAGAACGAGC
rnacentral:rRNA from 1 species